UGAGGAAUAUUGGUCAAUGGGCGAAAGCCUGAACCAGCCAAGUAGCGUGCAGGAUGACGGCCCUACGGGUUGUAAACUGCUUUUAGGCGGGGGUAAAGGGGCGGACGUGUUCCGCUUUUGCAAGUACCGCCAGAAAAAGGACCGGCUAAUUCCGUGCCAGCAGCCGCGGUAAUACGGAAGGUCCGGGCGUUAUCCGGAUUUAUUGGGUUUAAAGGGAGCGUAGGCCGUCUGUUAAGCGUGUUGUGAAAUGUCGGGGCUCAACCUGGGCAUUGCAGCGCGAACUGGCAGACUUGAGUGCGCAGGAAGUAGGCGGAAUUCGUCGUGUAGCGGUGAAAUGCUUAGAUAUGACGAAGAACUCCGAUUGCGAAGGCAGCCUGCUGUAGCGUAACUGGCGCUGAAGCUCGAAAGCGUGGGGUAUCGAACAGGGAUUAGAUACCCUGGGUAGU
rnacentral:rRNA from 1 species